rnacentral:lncRNA from 1 species
GAAGUGUAAACAAAGACCUGCAGGAAGUAAAGGGGCUACAAGGGAUCCAUGGAAAGAGCAUUCCCAGAAGCGGGGCCAGGGCAGUGCGCACAGUGAGGAGAGCAGGUGUGUGUGAGGUUGAAACAAAACGUUCAAAGCCCCCUCGGAAGCCCAUCCACAGGUGUGUGACUGUGAACCGCAUCGUAAUCUCCUAGAAAGCAAGAACAUCAGGCUUACAUUUUCCACUUGCCUCUCACGGCUCAGAGCUCUGCAGUAUAUACACAAUGUCAGUGAAGAUGGAAAACAGAACGUGGAGAGAGAUGUAGCUUACUAGAGCCCUGUGGCUUCAAUCCCCACCAGGAAUGUCGUUUAAGAGGAAGGUGAUCUAGCACAAAUUCACAUUUGCUUGAGGAAGAAUACAAAUGACAUAUCACACACCAACCGUGUGCAAAGCACUCUACCUAAAGAUCAGCGCUAACAGAGGAAUAAGCAGAGGCCUCCAGGAGCAAAGAGUGAAAAGUCUCCCAAGGAUUCAAGUACGGGGGAAGUGGGUGGAGCUUUCACCGUAGAAUCUUUCCUGGAGAAAAAGCAAAGAGUGGGACAACAAUGAAGGCAUUAAAAAUAACUGUCAAGUUGAAGAAAAAAUCUGAAGUUUAUCAAUACAUGAUCUCCUCAAAAACGAAAGGAAUAAAACAAGUAUCUGCAAUUUGCUGAGAACUUAAUAUGUGUCAGUUGCCUGCAAAACUCAUCAUUCUUUAGACUUUCAAAUACAUCUGUGAGGACGGUAUUGUUGUUUCCACUUACACAUGAGAAGGCAAGAGACAAGCCCACGGUCACCCAGCUGGUAUUUUGCCAAAGACUAAGGAUUCGGAGAUGACUACGGAAAGGAAUAAGGAUUUUAUGAAAAUGCAUGUUUGUUGAAUAACACAAAGGAGAAUAUUAUCUAAUGUGGCUUGGGGUCAAUAUCAAGCAGUAAUAUUGUUUUAGUAUUAAUUAGAGCCGUGUCAUUGCAAGAGCUGGUAAGAAUACUGGUCUUGUUUCCAACUGAUGAAAACACUCAUACAGAUUAGGGUUUUUAUGAGUAAAUUUCAGAUCUUGAAAAAAAAAAAAAAAAAAAAAAAAAAAAAAA